UAGGGAAUCUUAGGCAAUGGGUGGAACCCUGACCGAGCAACGCUGCGUGAGUGAAGAAGGUUUUCGGAUCGUAAAGCUCUGACGUUAAGGAAGAACGAGUGUGAGAAUGGAAAGUUCAUGCUGUGACGGUACUUAACCAGAAAGGGACGGCUAACUACGUGCCAGCAGCCGCGGUAAUACGUAGGUCCCGAGCGUUGUCCGGAUUUAUUGGUCGUAAAGCGAGCGCAGGCGGUUAGAAAAGUCUGAAGUGAAAGGCAGUGGCUCAACCAUUGUAGGCUUUGGAAACUGUUUAACUUGAGUGCAGAAGGGGAGAGUGGAAUUCCAUGUGUAGCGGUGAAAUUCGUAGAUAUAUGGAUGCACACCGGUGGCGAAAGCGGCUCUCUUGUCUGUAACUGACGCUGAGGCUCGAAAGCGUGGGGAGCGAACAGG
rnacentral:rRNA from 1 species